UAAGCGGAGGAAAAGAAACCAACUGGGAUUACCCUUAGUAACGGCGAGUGAAGCGGUAAAAGCUCAAAUUUGAAAUCUGGUACUUUCAGUGCCCGAGUUGUAAUUUGUAGAAUUUGUCUUUGAUUAGGUCCAUGUCUAUGUUCCUUGGAACAGGACGUCAUAGAGGGUGAGAAUCCCGUUUGGCGAGGAUACCUUUUCUCUGUAAGACUUUUUCGAAGAGUCGAGUUGUUUGGGAAUGCAGCUCAAAGUGGGUGGUAAAUUCCAUCUAAAGCUAAAUAUUGGCGAGAGACCGAUAGCGAACAAGUACAGUGAUGGAAAGAUGAAAAGAACUUUGAAAAGAGAGUGAAAAAGUACGUGAAAUUGUUGAAAGGGAAGGGCAUUUGAUCAGACAUGGUGUUUUUUGCAUGCACUCGCCUCUCGUGGGCUUGGGCCUCUCAAAAAUUUCACUGGGCCAACAUCAAUUCUGGCAGCAGGAUAAAUCAUUAAGAAUGUAGCUACUUCGGUAGUGUUAUAGCUUUUUGGAAUACUGUUAGCCGGGAUUGAGGACUGCGCUUCGGCGAGGAUGUUGGCAUAAUGGUUAAAUGCCG
rnacentral:rRNA from 1 species